AUGAGCUACUGGAGAGGAGGAGGGGGAGGAGGAGGAGCUGCUGGAGAGGAUCUGCUGCAGAGGAGGGAGCAGAUCUGCUGGAGGAGAGGAGCUAGAGAAGGAGGAGUAGGAGACUGGGUUUGGCUCAGACUGCACAACCGCCAGGCAGCAUCUCUAGCGGUCAAAGCACAUGCUAAGUUAGCACCAAAAUAUUAUGGGCUUUAUCAAGUCUUGGAGAGGAUUGGUGCAGUAGCUUAUCGACUACAUCUACCUACUGGUGCACGUAUCCAUGCAUGCUGCACUAUUGAAGAAAUUUCAUGGAGAUCCACCCGCAUCUGA
rnacentral:rRNA from 1 species